rnacentral:rRNA from 1 species
UACGUAGGUGACAAGCGUUGUCCGGAUUUACUGGGCGUAAAGGGCGCGUAGGCGGUAGCACAAGUCAGUUGUGAAAUCUCCGGGCUUAACUCGGAAAGGUCAACUGAUACUGUGCGACUAGAGUGCAGAAGGGGCAACUGGAAUUCUCGGUGUAGCGGUGAAAUGCGUAGAUAUCGAGAGGAACACCUGCGGCGAAGGCGGGUUGCUGGGCUGACACUGACGCUGAGGCGCGAAAGCCAGGGGAGCGAACGGG